rnacentral:piRNA from 1 species
UGGGUGACAAAGGGAAUCUUGAACCUCUGU